AGCGGAGUGAAAUAGUACCUGAAACCGUGUGCCUACAAGCCGUGGGAGCGUCGGAACAAGGCUUGCCUUGUUCUCGUGACUGCGUGCCUUUUGAAGAAUGAGCCUGCGAGUUUGCGGUGUGUUGCGAGGUUAACCCGGGUGGGGAAGCCGUAGCGAAAGCGAGUCCGAAUAGGGCGAUUCAGUAGCACGCUCAAGACCCGAAGCGGAGUGAUCUAGCCAUGGGCAGGUUGAAGCGGAGGUAAGACUUCGUGGAGGACCGAACCCACCAGGGUUGAAAACCUGGGGGAUGACCUGUGGUUAGGGGUGAAAGGCCAAUCAAACUCCGUGAUAGCUGGUUCUCCCCGAAAUGCAUUUAGGUGCAGCGUCGUGUGUUUCUUGCCGGAGGUAGAGCACUGGAUAGGCGAUGGGCCCUACCGGGUUACUGACCUUAGCCAAACUCCGAAUGCCGGUAAGUGAGAGCGCGGCAGUGAGACUGUGGGGGAUAAGCUCCAUGGUCGAGAGGGAAACAGCCCAGAGCAUCGACUAAGGCCCCUAAGCGUACGCUAAGUGGGAAAGGAUGUGGAGUCGCAGAGACAACCAGGAGGUUGGCUUAGAAGCAGCCACCCUUGAAAGAGUGCGUAAUAGCUCACUGGUCUAGUGAUUCCGCGCCGACAAUGUAGCGGGGCUCAAGCGUACCGCCGAAGUCGUGUCAUUGCAGCAUG
rnacentral:rRNA from 1 species